rnacentral:rRNA from 1 species
GAUGAACGCUGGCGGCGUGCCUAAUACAUGCAAGUCGAGCGAACGGACGAGAAGCUUGCUUCUCUGAUGUUAGCGGCGGACGGGUGAGUAACACGUGGAUAACCUACCUAUAAGACUGGGAUAACUUCGGGAAACCGGAGCUAAUACCGGAUAAUAUUUUGAACCGCAUGGUUCAAAAGUGAAAGACGGUCUUGCUGUCACUUAUAGAUGGAUCCGCGCUGCAUUAGCUAGUUGGUAAGGUAACGGCUUACCAAGGCAACGAUGCAUAGCCGACCUGAGAGGGUGAUCGGCCACACUGGAACUGAGACACGGUCCAGACUCCGACGGGAGGCAGCAGUAGGGAAUCUUCCGCAAUGGGCGAAAGCCUGACGGAGCAACGCCGCGUGAGGGAUGAAGGUCUUCGGAUCGGAAAACUCUGUUAUUAGGGAAGAACAUAUGUGUAAGUAACUGGGCACAUAUUGACGGUACCUAAUCAGAAAGCCACGGCUAACUACGUG